rnacentral:rRNA from 1 species
AUGAUCGGUAACCAGUCAGAUAUUCAUGUCCAACAAGAUAGCCUACACCAUCAGAAUGAAAGGCUAUUCACAUGCGUAUAUACAUCCACUGCCGUUGUAGCUUGCCAGGAGAGUAAAAUGAAAAUACCCAAUGAUCAUGCUAUAGUAAAUGAAGAGCACGAAAGGAUUUCACCGGGUCCAAAUAAACAAAAACCAAGAAAGAGGAAACAGAUAGUCCAUGGAAAUCAGAGCAACAAGUGUGCGAGGUUGGUUCAAAGAAAACAAAAUUGUGAAACUGAGUUUGCUUUGAGUACCACAGCUGGCGAACAUGUUCUAGAAGCAUCAAAUUUUGCUAGAGGCUUAGCAGAUACCGAUUUGAUUAGAAGAAAGGUGAUAAGUAAGUUGCAUCGAGCAAAUAGAAAGAAGUUACAAGCGAUGAGAAAAGGAGGUAAAUCUCAUAGUUCUCCAAGUGAGGUUUCAAAUUUUGGAAAACCAACAUGCAUAUGUCCAUUCUGCAAGGCUAUAAUGUGGCAUCAAGAGAGAAGCAAUCAUAACACAAACAAGUCAAGACCAACAUUCGGACUUUGUUGCAAGGAAGGCAAAGUCAAACUGCCACCAUUAAAAAAACCUCCAGGAUACCUUCAGCAGCUACUAACAUGUAAUGAAAAGGGAGAAUCCUCAAAUUACAGAGACAAUAUCAGGAACUACGAUGGGUGGCCAGGUCGACUACGAGAUAAACAAAAUAGGUGGUGCACCAUAUGUUUUUCGCUUGAAUGGCCAAAACUACCAUCAAAUUGGCACGUUGCUACCUAA